CGUCAGGAUGAACGCUGGCGGCGUGCCUAACACAUGCAAGUCGAGCGGAGAUAAGUGAAGCUAGCGAUUCUUAUCUUAGCGGCGGAUGGGUGAGUAACACGUGGGUAACCUGCCCUGCACUGGGGAAUAACAGCUGGAAACGGCUGUUAAUGCCGCAUAUGCGCACGGAGCCGCAUGGCUUUGGGCGGAAAGAUUUAUCGGUGCAGGAUGGGCCCGCGCCGGAUUAACUAGUUGGCGGGGUAACGGCCCACCAAGGUGAUGAUCCGUAGCCGACCUGAGAGGGUGACCGGCCACAUUGGGACUGAGACACGGCCCAAACUCCUACGGGAGGCAGCAGUGGGGGAUAUUGCACAAUGGGGGAAACCCUGAAUGCAGCGACGCCGCGUGAAGGAUGAAGUAUUUCGGUAUGUAAACUUCUAUCAGCGGGGAAGAAGAUGACGGUACCCGACUAAGAAGCCCCGGCUAACUACGUGCCAGCCGCCGC
rnacentral:rRNA from 1 species